AUGAUGUAUGGCUGGGGCCAAGGGCCCAAGGGGCCCAUGCCUGGUGUAGAUGUACUCAUAGAUCUAGGCCUGGGGCUGAGGAGGCUGCCUGCAAGCCGCCACAUGGGGCUGUCUUUGCCCUUGCACCCCGGAGCCGCCCUCGGCGCUUCCCCUUGCUGCCUCGCUGAAUCCUUCAGUUGGAGUAUAGAUGUUGUAAAGAUGUUUAAGAGUAACAAGGAGGAGGGUAUGAUUAAAUACUCUUCUAUUUGGUUCCACAUCCCUCCCCUGCCAAAGCAACAUUUCUUCAUAUUUUACAAGUGAUGAAAUCUUGAUUCAGCUGGAAACAGCCUAUACAGAACAUUCAGCUAGUGAUGAACAUUGUAACCUUCUUGCUCCAAAAAAACAACACAAUAUGGGAAGAGUGGUAAGGCUGUUCAUACUGAUUCUGCUUUGAAUGUCCUCAUUCAUGUUAGGUUCCUUUUCAUUUCCUGAUUUCACUGUUGGGCAGUUCACUGUCUUGGCAUUCCUUGAAACAAUGGACCAUUCUGCUUACAUUCAGAUGAGGCUACUGCACUUGUUAAAAUUUUAGCCCUUUGUGAUAAGGUCAUAAGUCAAUUUUAACUACGAAUUUUAAACCCAUGUCUUGGGUUUAAAAUAUUUUAAUCUUUGUUCUGUGUUUUUUAAAUAUAUGUAUUUUAU
rnacentral:lncRNA from 1 species